rnacentral:tRNA from 1 species
GCCCCCGUAGCUCAACGGACAGAGCGCCGGCCUCCUAAGCCGGGCGUCCGGGUUCGAGUCCCGGCGGGGGCGCCA